UGGGGAAUUUUGGACAAUGGGGGAAACCCUGAUCCAGCCAUCCCGCGUGUGCGAUGAAGGCCUUCGGGUUGUAAAGCACUUUUGGCAGGAAAGAAACGUCGCGGGUUAAUACCCCGCGGAACUGACGGUACCUGCAGAAUAAGCACCGGCUAACUACGUGCCAGCAGCCGCGGUAAUACGUAGGGUGCAAGCGUUAAUCGGAAUUACUGGGCGUAAAGCGUGCGCAGGCGGUUCGGAAAGAAAGAUGUGAAAUCCCAGAGCUUAACUUUGGAACUGCAUUUUUAACUACCGGGCUAGAGUGUGUCAGAGGGAGGUGGAAUUCCGCGUGUAGCAGUGAAAUGCGUAGAUAUGCGGAGGAACACCGAUGGCGAAGGCAGCCUCCUGGGAUAACACUGACGCUCAUGCACGAAAGCGUGGGGAGCAAACAGGAUUAGAUACCCUGGUAGUCCACGCCCUAAACGAUGUCAACUAGCUGUUGGGGUCUUCGGACCUUGGUAGCGCAGCUAACGCGUGAAGUUGCCGCCUGGGGAGUACGGUCGCAAGNUAAAACUCAAAGGAAUUGACGGGGGU
rnacentral:rRNA from 1 species